rnacentral:tRNA from 1 species
AUUUAUUGGCAGAAUAAUGCAUUAGAAUUAGAAUCUAAAAAAACUAUAAUU